rnacentral:rRNA from 1 species
CUUGAACGCUGGCGGCAGGCCUAACACAUGCAAGUCGAACGAGUGGCGGACGGGUGAGUAAUGUCUGGGAAACUGCCUGAUGGAGGGGGAUAACUACUGGAAACGGUAGCUAAUACCGCAUACCAUCGGAUGUGCCCAGAUUGGAUUAGCUCGUAGGUGGGGUAACGGCUCACCUAGGCGACGAUCCCUAGCUGGUCUGAGAGGAUGACCAGCCACACUGGAACUGAUACACGGUCCAGACGCCUACGGGAGGCAGCAGUGGGUAAUAUUGCACAAUGGGCGCAAGCCUGAUGCAGCCAUGCCGCGUGUAUGAAGAAGGCCUUCGGGUUGUAAAGUACUUUCAGCGGGGAGGCGUUACCAACAGAAUAAGCACCGGCUAACUUCGUGCCAGCCGCCGCGGUAAUAC